GAGAGAGAGAGAGAGCGAGAGAGAGGCAGAGAGAGAGAGGACUGGGGCAGGAGUUGUGUAAAAGGGGCUGAAGUCCUGCGCUGCGUCCUCCACUGCUGCUGCGCUGCAAAGAAAAGUAGGCUCACCACCAGCUCCACCACCAGAUAUAUAAAUGCUGCCAAACCGUUUUAUAUCGCGGAUGUGAAACAAACAAACAGUCAACGACACGCCCUGCUGAAGGUCCAGGACUCCGCCGGAGCAGUGGGCGAGGCAGCCUGAACUCCGCUGGACCGUCCAGAUGGGUUGGCCGCGCAGGAGCGACCCGGCCGGUGGUCAAGGAACAUGUGCACCUAAAGCAGACGAAGGAAGGAGAAGGAGUCACUAUUUGUGCCUUUAAAGCGGGCCGUCCGUCACUCCAGGCUGUCUAGUUUGUACUCUCACGCUCUCUGGCUGACUCCCAGCAGUCCCUCACCCUUGGCCCCAAAUGGCUGACACACAGCAGUUCUUCACUGGCAAGCUUUAUGUUCCUGUACACAUGCUAAAGCUGCCAGCUGAAGAACUGCUCUGGUCAGCCCUGCCCCGGAUGACUCAAGAAGAGGAAGCGAACGAGGGUUGCUGGGAAGAGGACUAAGGAAGGCGGUGUUUCACACGCUCAGCAGUCAGGCUGGACUUUAAUAACUGGACAGAUUUGAUCCCCCAUUGUUUAUGUUCCUGUGUUAAUCACAUGUAAGCUUUAUUUCACUUCAGUCAAUACAGAAUGUUUAUUUUGUGGUCCACAAUAACCUGCUUAUAGUUUGUCUAUGAUGUGCUUCUCGCUCACAAUAAAGAACAAAAUAUUUUCUCAGA